rnacentral:tRNA from 5 species
CGGGCUCGUAGCUCAGUCUGGCUAGAGCACCGGCCUUUUAAGCCGGGAGUCGGGGGUUCAAAUCCCCUCGAGCCCGUC